GAUGAACGCUGGCGGCGUGCCUAAUACAUGCAAGUCGAGCGAACAGACGAGGAGCUUGCUCCUCUGACGUUAGCGGCGGACGGGUGAGUAACACGUGGAUAACCUACUUAUAAGACUGGGAUAACUUCGGGAAACCGGAGCUAAUACCGGAUAAUAUAUUGAACCGCAUGGUUCAAUAGUGAAAGACGGCUUUGCUGUCACUUAUAGAUGGAUCCGCGCCGCAUUAGCUAGUUGGUAAGGUAAAGGCUUAUCAAGGCAACGAUGCGUAGCCGGGCUGAGAGGGUGAUCGGCCACACUGGAACUGAGACACGGUCCAGACUCCUACGGGAGGCAGCAGUAGGGAAUCUUCCGCAAUGGGCGAAAGCCUGACGGAGCAACGCCGCGUGAGUGAUGAAGGUCUUCGGAUCGUAAAACUCUGUUAUUAGGGAAGAACAAAUGUGUAAGUAACUAUGCACGUCUUGACGGUACCUAAUCAGAAAGCCACGGCUAACUACGUG
rnacentral:rRNA from 1 species